AAUAAUUGGGUCGAUGUUGAUGUUCCAACAGUUAUCCACAAGUCCACGUAAUAUGUUCAUUUUGUUUAAAAACCCUUCUCUCAUUCCAAAGGGAGAAGUGAUGAUAUUGUUGGCACAUUUUGAUUAAUACAACGAUAUUCAUUCAAAAAUUACAUGUUAAAUGUUUGUUUUUCCAAAUUAUUUUUCCUUUUUGAUUUUUG
rnacentral:lncRNA from 1 species